rnacentral:lncRNA from 1 species
GAAUCUAUUUGGUCAAACCACAGUCAUUCAGCAACAGAAUUCACUCAAAGUCAAUUUUGGCUUUCUGAAUGGAACUUGGAAGAUGGGAUACAGUGCACAUGUGUGGUGGAAACAGGAGGGAGGAACAUAUCAAGAACUAUUCAACAUCAUAUGCCAGGCUCCGGUAACAACGCAUGUUCCAUUCUUGUUUAUGGGAUCUCCUUUGCAUCACUUCUCAUAAUAGCAGGAGGGGUGGCGCUGGGUAUACGCCACUGGCAAAGGCGCAGUAAGAACAUUCACAAAAUAGACCACAGACGGGAAUCCAGUAAACUUGGAACAGGUACCCUGAAUGGACCAGUUUAGAAAGUGCGUAAUAGAAACAUCAGGGAUUUAAUAGUAAACAUUAAUUGACUUGUCAUGUGAAGCUAAACAUUUUUCAUUUUUCAAAUUUUCAUCAAUUUCAUGAACAAUUGACAACUUGUGCUUUUUUUAUGUGAUGUGAUCUUAUUCUCAGAGAGUGCAGUAUUUCAGUCUGGAAAACAUGGACGAAUUUGAAAGGAUGAUGUGGCAGAAAACAAAAUAGUUGAAAUUACCUGUUUAUAUUAGAUGUUCAUACGUUUAUUUAUUUCCACAAUGACAUGUUUACUGAAACUGCUUAAUUGUGCAUUUCUAAAUAUUUUCCACAUAUAAUUAAUUGCAUGUUAGAAAUAUAUGCGCAUUUGCGUGUUGUGUUUUGGCUUCAAUGGCUUACUUACUCUGCCCAAUGACAAUAAAGCUGAUCCUGCUCUGGUAUUUUCCCA